CGGGAAACUGAGGAUAAUGGUUCAUAAUUGAAUAGGCUUGGAAAAGUUUUUCAAUGAAAGGGAUAAGAAAAAUGGUUCUUAUUUGCUAUAGGAUAGGAUCGUGGUCGAUUAUGGUUGUUGGUGAGGUAAUGGCUCACCAAGCCGAUAAUCGAUAGGGGCCGUGAGAGCGGGAGCCCCGAGAUGGGUACUGAGACAACGACCCAGGUUCUACGGAACGCAGCAGGCGCGGAACCUCAGCAAUACACGAAAGUGUGACUGGGUUACUCAAAGUGUUCAUAUUUGAACUGUGGUAGGUGAGUAAUGUUCCCUACUAGAAAGGAGAGGGAAAGGCUGGUGCCAGCCGCCGCGGUAAAACCAGCUCUUCAAGUGGUCGGGAUAAUUAUUGGGCUUAAAGUGUCCGUAGCCGGUUUAGUAAGUUCCUGGUAAAAUUAUGUAGCUUAACUAUCUGUAUGCUAGGAAUACUGCUAAUCUAUAGGGCGGGAGAGGUCUGAGGUACUACAGGGGUAGGGGUGAAAUCUUAUAAUCCUUGUAGGACCACCAGUGGCGAAGGCGUCAGACUGGAACGCGCCUGACGGUGAGGGACGAAAGCCAGGGGAGCGAACCGGAUUAGAUACCCGGGUAGUCCUGGCCGUAAACGAUGCAUACUAGGUGAUGGCACGGCCAUGA
rnacentral:rRNA from 1 species